CUAGUGGCGGACGGGUGAGUAACGCGUGGGAAUCUGCCUUUAGAUGGGGGAUAACGGGCCGAAAGGUCCGCUAAUACCGCAUAUGCCGCAAGGUGAAAGGAGUAAUCCGUCUAAAGAUGAGCCCGCGUCCGAUUAGCUAGUUGGUAGAGUAAGAGCCUACCAAGGCGACGAUCGGUAGCUGGUCUGAGAGGAUGAUCAGCCACAAUGGGACUGAGACACGGCCCAUACUCC
rnacentral:rRNA from 1 species